AACGAACGCUGGCGGCAUGCCUAACACAUGCAAGUCGAACGAGACCUUCGGGUCUAGUGGCGCACGGGUGCGUAACGCGUGGGAACCUGCCCUUAGGUUCGGAAUACCUCCCCGAAAGGGGUGCUAAUACCGGAUAAUGUCUUCGGACCAAAGAUUUAUCGCCUUUGGAUGGGCCCGCGUUGGAUUAGCUAGUUGGUAGGGUAAAAGCCUACCAAGGCGACGAUCCAUAGCUGGUCUGAGAGGAUGAUCAGCCACACUGGGACUGAGACACGGCCCAGACUCCUACGGGAGGCAGCAGUGGGGAAUAUUGGACCAUGGGCGAAAGCCUGAUCCAGCAAUGCCGCGUGAGUGAUGAAGGCAUUAGGGUUGUAAAGCUCUUUUACCCGGGAUGAUAAUGACAGUACCGGGAGAAUAAGCUCCGGCUAACUCCGUG
rnacentral:rRNA from 1 species